GGAGACGUGGGUGAGUGGCUGAAACCAGUUCCCUGCUAAGGAACCAUACCUCUACCGGGGUAUCGAGGGUUCGAAUCCCUCCGUCUCCGCCA
rnacentral:tRNA from 1 species